rnacentral:misc_RNA from 1 species
UACACGCUUCCGCGGUGCACAACAUUUUCAAAAGAAAAUAAAAUUUGUAUGGGUUCUUAUAUCAUAGCAAAGCAAUUAAUAAAUGCUAGGAUCUGUGUUCUGGGAUGAUGCUUGUCAUUUAAUCAAAGGAUAAAUAUUUCUAAAAUGAGGAUGCAGAGUAGUUGACUGACAAGCUAUGAUAGAAAGAAUUUAGCAUUAGAGAAUAUAGGGUUCUUACAGGAGGGAGGGUGAAAGUUAAGGUAUUAAACACUGGAAAUUUCAAGAACACAUUAUAUUUUGAGUAUUGGAUGCCUUUUUUACUGAUCCUGACUGCAUUUUAAACUUUGUAAAAUCCUGGUCUAGUGAUCUUCUUGUGUUGUAUUUGGGUUGCCACCCUUCAUUGCCCUUUAGUAAAGGUUGGUUGCUAAAAUUCAAGGCAGAAUGUCUUUAAGAUAGUUUGUGAAAAUUUGGUGAUAGCAACAAUAUCUUUGAAUUGUUAAAACCUGAGAUUAUUCUUUGCAAUCAGAAGGUGUAAAUUUGUGUAUAAGGGAGAUGGAUUAUCUUAGUAAAGCUACAACUUAUGACAUCAAGAACUCAAGAUAUGUUAUGAAACUAGGAAUGUGCAAUUGUGAAGAAAACAAUUCUCAUCAUUACUUCAACCUUGAGUGAUGCCUGUUCCCUUUUUUCUCUUUCUGCUGCAAAUGUUCAAACAAAUCCACCACUAGCUCUUCAAUUAUGCCAAGUCCAAUGAUGAA